rnacentral:rRNA from 1 species
GAUGAACGCUGGCGGUAUGCUUAACACAUGCAAGUCGAACGGUCACUUCGGUGAUAGUGGCGGACGGGUGAGUAACGCGUGAAAAUCUGUCUUCAGGUCGGGGACAACAGUUAGAAAUGACUGCUAAUGCCGGAUGUGCCGAAAGGUGAAAGAUUUAUUGCCUGAAAAAGAGCUCGCGUCAGAUUAGCUAGUAGGUGGUGUAAGAGACUACCUAGGCGACGAUCUGUAGCUGGUCUGAGAGGACGAUCAGCCACACUGGAACUGAGACACGGUCCAGACUCCUACGGGAGGCAGCAGUGGGGAAUUUUCCGCAAUGGGCGAAAGCCUGACGGAGCAAUACCGCGUGAGGGACGAAGGCUUUUGGGUCGUAAAACCUCUUUUAUUAGGGAAGAUUUCAGGACGGUACCUAAUGAAUAAGCAUCGGCUAACUCUGUGCCAGCAGCCGCGGUAAU